CCAUUAUUGAUUGACACAAGUGAAUUUUCUUUUCUUCUUGCAACCAGUGGAUCAAUGCUAGGGACUUGGAAACAAGCGUAGUGUCACCAGAAAUCAAAUAUGUUCAACAAAAAGAGUCUUCACCUAUCCAUCUGUUGUUCUAAAGUUACCCAGAAUUUUGUGCAACUUGCAACACAGAGAAGAAGCUGAGAAGGUAAGUCCACUGACUGAGAACUGCAGCAUUUAGGACCAUAACCGGACUGUUACCUGCCCUUGUCCACAGUUGUCCCCCACCUCUUGUACCUCUGUUUGCCCUCUACAGUGCUAUACUGACCCUUCAAAUUUGGCAAAGAUCAUAUAAAAAAAAGUUAACUAACUAUUGAAAUGCCAUUUGCUAUUGCUCCCAUCUCCUGUAGAGUUCAUUCAGUUACUGAUUGCCUUAGGCUAUUCUAAUGGAUUUUCUGUCUGUUAGAAAUACAUAUAUAUCCCUGAGAAAUGCAGCAACAUUUUUCAUGUUUUAAAACUUCCCAAAUUCCUAACAGAGUGUUUAAAUUUUAUUUUGAAUGUGGUAAUAUGUAAGUCGAUGUAGUCUCUGUUAAUUCUUCUUUGUAAAUUAAUACUUUUGUCAGUGCAGUAGUUUUGUUACAGUAUAUACCUGUGCAUCAGCAUUUAGCUGCUCAAAGUUUAGUUUGUUUAGAUUAUUUUACCCCAAGGAGGCCGAGAGAGUUUGGGGUUUAUUUAGCAUUUCACUAAAUCUCUGAUACCUGGAGAGUAUGAAGUUA
rnacentral:lncRNA from 1 species